rnacentral:lncRNA from 1 species
GUUUGCCCAGAGAGAACUGGCUGUGAAGUGGACAGGGGCUGCACAACCUGCGUGUACGACAUGGAAGCUGCAGGAAAGUCCCAGAAGGACCCAGAGGAGCUGUGAUCAGAUGUCAAAGCAAAAAGCAAUGAUGAACAUAUGUAGAACAAGGCGUGGAGGAGAGGAGAAGGGAGCAUGGUGCAUCUUUCAAGGAUCAGCAUUUUCAACUGCAAAACCUUUUGUUCUCUAAUCUGGGAUAUUUCCUAGCAGUCCACAUGGAGAAGAAAAGGGGCAUUGUCUGGUGAGUGGCUUCAUUACUAAUCUCUCCUGGAUGCAUUUUAAUUCAUUUUAAUGACUCUGCCUCCUGUCAGACCUUUCAUUUGUUAAAGGGGUUUGUUAAAGAGAUUAACUGCAAUGGGAAUAUGAACCUCGAAACACUAUGUCCCUUCCCCCAAGCCCUCCUCCCUGCCCUCAAGAUUAAUAUUACACCAAAAGGAAG